GGCUGAUGUUGAGCACUUUUCACCAAGAGGCUAAAUACAAGGGCAUAUCUGUUCUCUUCAGAAAACAUCACGUCUGUGCUACUGCAGGGGAAAGGUCCUGAUUACAAAAGGUAAUUACCCCAUGUCAGUUCUUUGUAGCAUCAUCGUUUCUUGGCAUUAAGCUAGAGAAAAAAGAAAACUUCCAUUCCCCAAAAGAUUUUUGUCAGAAUAAACAGCCUUAUGAUUAAGCACAACCCAUGGACAUAGAUAAUAUUGCCCAAGUUAUUUAGAUUGGGUGUGGUAAAGAAGUCAAACCGAGGAAACAGAGCAAAAAUUAUUUGCAUUUUAAUCGUAUUUUGAAUCCUUUUUUGUUUCUCUCCUUCCCUGCUUCCAUUACAGUUUUAUUUUCCCUCAUUUGCUUCAUCAAGCUCUACUCUUAACACUCUAAUUCUUCUACUUGAUACCUGUUCUCCUACCUUUCCUCUGUCUCAACUGCUUAACCCAUGCAUAAUUUUGGUCAAAGCCUGCCUGGCAUCCCCAGGCUGAAAAGUGCACAGCUGAUCCCUGUUGCUCUCCUGUUUUGACAGUAGAAAAAGAAAGAUAAGGUUGCAGCAUCUGCCAACAGCACUUGAGUAUCUAUAGACGGAGCAAGAUGACUCCAGUACAUGUUGACAGACUUAAACUAUUAUCUCAUACAUAUCAUUUUCUUUUUAGGACUCUACUAAUUAAUGUGAUUUAGAUGACGACACUUUUUUUUUUCUUGUUGAAAUGCAAAUGAGAUAUUUUGUGCAUGAAAAGUUUGACAUUGGUGGAAUGAAUUAUGGAGAUACUGAUGUACUCAAAAGGGCAGACUUGGGUACUUGUGAGAAGACCCAGGAUAAAAAAAACGUUUGAACUUGAACUGCUUGAUUGAAAGAAAGUUUGCACAAAGAAGGAUAUCCACAAAAGAAUUACUCUUUCUACUAGCUUUGCUGACUUAAGAGCUCCUUCUGAUUGUUGCUGAGGUGAGAGCACUAAAACUGAAGGACCAGCAGGAUUUACUAGCUCCAGCACUCUUAGGCACUUUCAGAGUUGUUCUCUGGUUACCCCAUAUAGUUAUGUAAUCAAUCUUCAUUUUUCAUUGACUGUUCUUUAUUUGUUUGGCCUUAACCCUAAUUUGAAGGGCAUUGAAGAAGGCUGUCCAAAACAGGAUACACCCAGAACAGUAUUAGGCUCCUGUGUCACCUACUUCAUUGCUUAGAGGAAAAUGAUCCAGCUACCUGACAUGCAGUACCAGGACGAUAAACACCCAGUGAUUUUGCAGCACAUUUUGGGAAGAUCACUGGCAGACUGACAGCUUUUAGACAUGUAUGGCUGCAAGUAUGAGAAUAAUUACACUAGUUUUCUCCACAUCUGUGAAAAGGUGAAAUUCCUUCCCAAAAUGUGUCCAAUUGGCUGAAUAUUCCAAUACCCAUGUUUUGAAAGCAUUUUAUUUUAUUACUCUGAUUCUAGAGACUAGUAAAUAUCUCAUAGGAACUAUGAUAAUUAAUUGAAAAUUCUUCAUCAGAAUGAAUGGGAGAUGAACAAAGAUGGCAAGGAGCUAAAACUAGAAAGCUC
rnacentral:lncRNA from 1 species